UGGGGAAUAUUGGACAAUGGGCGAAAGCCUGAUCCAGCCAUGCCGCGUGAGUGAUGAAGGCCCUAGGGUUGUAAAGCUCUUUCAACGGUGAAGAUAAUGACGGUAACCGUAGAAGAAGCCCCGGCUAACUUCGUGCCAGCAGCCGCGGUAAUACGAAGGGGGCUAGCGUUGUUCGGAAUUACUGGGCGUAAAGCGCACGUAGGCGGACAUUUAAGUCAGGGGUGAAAUCCCGGGGCUCAACCCCGGAACUGCCUUUGAUACUGGGUGUCUAGAGUCCGGAAGAGGUGAGUAGAAUUCCGAGUGUAGUGGUGAAAUUCGUAGAUAAUCGGAGGAACGCCAGUGGCGAAGGCGGCUCACUGGUCCGGUACUGACGCUGAGGUGCGGAAGCGUGGGGAGCAAACA
rnacentral:rRNA from 1 species